GGUUUGUCAUCCAGCGAGGAGAUGAGGAGAAAGUGCUGGGCCACUCCACUGGAGAAAUUGGAGACCUUUCUUCUGGCUGUGUCUAGGGAGCCAAGAGAGUGAGAGAAAACUCUUUGAGGAAUUGGCUCAGACAGAGGAGGGAGACAAGGUACCACGUUAACAACAGGACUGAAAUUUCGCCCAGAGUACAGAGAGCUCAGCAGAUUCCUGGCAUUUCUGAAAAACAAUCCCUUGGGGUUGAAUCAAAUUAAAUGCUUUAGGAAAAAAAGUUAUGAUAUUCAAGAGAAAUAAUGUGGCUUAACAACUGAAGUUCCACUUCUGAUGGACCUGAGAAGCCUUGCAAAUGACGUUUGAUUUUCACACUCUUUGAAGAGACAACAGAUUUCAUUGUGCAGGGGAGAAGCUGCCCAAGUGGACUUCUGGAGUUCUGACUACUUUGGGAGAUCCAUUGACUGGUAAGGGAUUUAGUCAUGAUUUUAAUAAAGAGAAAAAAGAAUAUCUUUUAC